rnacentral:rRNA from 1 species
UACGGAGGGUGCAAGCGUUGUUCGGAAUCACUGGGCGUAAAGCGCGUGUAGGCGGUCUCUUUAGUCUGGUGUGAAAGCCCGGGGCUCACCCCCGGAAGUGCAUCGGAUACUGGGAGACUUGAGUACCGGAGAGGAGGGUGGAAUUCCUGGUGUAGCGGUGAAAUGCGUAGAUAUCAGGAGGAACACCGGUGGCGAAGGCGGCCCUCUGGACGGAUACUGACGCUGAGACGCGAAAGCGUGGGGAG